rnacentral:lncRNA from 1 species
CAAAAUUAUGAUGUAAAGUGAAAUAUCAAGGUAAUCUUUUACAAUGUUCUUCUCAUUACCAAUUUCUUCUCCAUGAAGAAAACUAAAAUACAUUCUUGAGUUUGUCCAUUGGUUGUCUUUGUUAGAUUAAUUUAGAGCGACCUAUCAGAAAGCAUUUUUGACUGAACUUCUUCUGUUCCGUUCAGCCUUACCUUAUUGUAGACACCCUGCAGAUCCAGUUUUCUACCACACUUAGAAAUGCAGCAACUUCUAGAAAGUUUGUAAUUUUAUAGUUGCAGAUAUAUUGUGAUGAUUUUUGCAUACAAAUUACAAUAGAAAAGGUGGGAAAUAUUUUAUGCUGACCAGUUCCUAACCUUUCUAAAAUAUCACUGUGAAGAAAUGCUCUCGAGGCAAAACUUACACAAAGCAAUGCUAAAUAGUUUGUUAAUGGUUACUACAUUGAUGAAACUGUGUUCUUUAAAACUGCCAGCCCCACCCUCAUCACAUUUGUAAUUUUAAAAAGAAGAAAAGAAAAAAAAAAGGUAACCUAAUGCAUUUGCCAUGUAGCAUUAUGUCUCAGCUUUACCCUGAUUCAUUCUUUGGAAAGUCAUGGAAUGCAAGAACUGUUUAACUUUCCUUUGAUAAGUAACUUGUUGGAAGGAAAAUACUAACAAUAUACUUAUGACUACUUCACUCUACAACCAGAUGUUUCUUUUAAAGAUAUUCAAUGGUUUAUGCUGAAUGCAGCACUACAAUAGAUUGCAAAAAAAAAAAACCCAAAAACUCACAACUUCAUAUGUAUUUAGGAGGGAAAAAUGUAAAAUAAAAUCAAAGUCAAUGACUCAUGAUUUUGUAACUCGUCUUCUUUAUAUGCCCCAAAUGCUACUUAGUUACAGAUACUUGCAUUGUCUGGAUUUUGUUUCUGAUUUGACUUUCCAGAGUCUGUAUCUAAAUAUUUGGCUGCAGAACAUCACUUUGUCAUUGUAACUUACAGCCACAGCUGUGAGGAGACUCCCUAUGUGCCCAGGAUCAAGACGCUGUUACAUUGUUGACUGUGUUUUGCAAACAUGCUGGUUUAGUAUGUGAGGAGCAGAGCGAUUUAGUGCCAUCUCUCUCAACCAUUCUGCUUCUGGAUCUGAAAACACACAAGCUGGUGAGAUUGACUAAUUUGUGUUCGAUCUUAGGCGACUGCUUUGUUAAUGACUUUUCCAAAUGCCUAGUAUGAUGCAAUCGCUGGCAUAUGCAUUAAUAAAUGGAUGUAUAUUGAGCUCAUG